UAUAGAGGAACCUCUGUAAAGGUAACAAAAAGGACUUAAAUCGGUUGUUUGCUUUAUGUCUUGACCAGAUUGCUGGGAGAAAAAUCUUUGAUCUCAAAUGGAGCUGUGCCAACAUGUCCAGUGUUGUGGUUAAUCCACUGGGACCUUGAGGGUUCUUCUUGUUGCGUCUCCAUGUUGAUAAUUCUACUGUAUACUGUGUGUUGUUGACAACAUGUUAAUAUUAUAUUGACUUCUUCACAAACACGCUUAGUUAUCUAGAGAAAGGGUUACUCAUAUUUAUUUCAUAGGAUUAGAGUGAGAAUUAAAUUAGCUGUAGUACAGAAAAUACCAAACACUUGUUCUGCCUCAUACAGUGCAGUGUGUGUUCUCAAUGAAGUUGGUUCUCUAGCAAAACAUGUACCCUAAUCCAGACAUCUUCCCCUCUUAUCUACCUCUGGAGAAGAACUGUAUUUCUGAAAUGGAAUUAUAAUUGUCUGUUUAUUGUGUUACCUUUGCUGGAAAUAAUAAACAACAGAAAGAGUGCUUUACUAAUUUAAUCAGAAGCUAAGAAACAGUGAUUAUUACAUUGUCCUGCCCAGGAAGUGAUAACUACAUGCCAUUCAUUUUGAUAAUUUUGAUUGCUGAAAAGCUCUAGUGGAAUACAUAAAUAAUUUACUAUAAAUUACAAUUUUUUUUCCUGCUGUUCUAGUUUUCCGGUUUGAGGCGGUUGUCCCUACCUUGUUCCCUGUUUCUGGUGGCAUUUCCUGGCUCCACAUUCCUGUUUUGCAUCAACAGGAAACAAGUCAUGAGCUGAGAGAGCCAAGUAUGAAGCCCAGCCGCUCUGAAGUGGGAUUCGGGCAUCUGAACUACUAG
rnacentral:lncRNA from 1 species